rnacentral:lncRNA from 1 species
GCCGCCGCCGCCGCCGCCGCCCCGCCGCUUCCUCCUCCGCCUGCCGGCCUCCUUCGCCCCGUCCCGUCCGCGCAGCGCGUCCGGCCCGCCCGCAGGCCAGCUUCUCUCGGGAGCCCCCACCCAGGCGCAUGGCUCCAUGAAGCAAGAGGAGGAGGCAGAGCGCGAGAGGUCCCGUCCGCCCCAGCCGCGUCUGGGCCAGGAUAAAAGCAAAACCAUAUUCCUGCUGCUGUCAGUUAUGAUGCACUGAGAAAACUUCAGAGACCUAAACUUUUUCCAGAGAAGAGAAGCUUUACUGGUGUUCCAGCCCUAAGAAACCUUUGUUCAAGAAAACGGCAGAUGCUCUGUUGAAUCCACUGGAGAUUGUUCUGAUACUAAGGACAAGUAUGCUCAUAUGACAUUAACAGACAAGACACUUUUCAGAAAGACAGGCAACGUGUUGGACCUUCCGGAGCUUCUCAGAAGA